rnacentral:misc_RNA from 1 species
GAUGAAGAACGUAGCGAAAUGCGAUAAGUAAUGUGAAUUGCAGAAUUCAGUGAAUCAUCGAAUCUUUGAACGCACAUUGCGCCCCUUGGUAUUCCGAGGGGCAUGCCUGUUCGAGCGUCAUUAUAACCCUCAAGCUCAGCUUGGUGUUGGGGCCUGCUGCACUGGCAGCCCUUAAAAUCAGUGGCGGCGCCAUCUGGCUCUAAGCGUAGUAAUUCUUCUCGCUAUGGAGUCCUGGUGGAUGCUUGCCAUCAACCCCCAAUUUUUCUAUGGUUGACCUCGGAUCAGGUAGGGAUACCCGCUGAACUUAAGCAUAUCAAUAAGGGAGGA